rnacentral:rRNA from 1 species
AUGUCGCUUCUCCUUGCACAGAUGCUGAUGGAACGGUGUCUAUUGAACAGCUAUGCAUACAAUGUUCUUUUCUGUUGUUUCCUCGCCAAGGAGACAAUUCUUCAUGCUGCUCUGUUGUUCAACAAAAUGGUAGAUUAUGGCUUUGUUUCUGACCAAGAGACAUCUGAACUGUUAGUCCUUGACAUGCCCAUAUUUUCGUUACUCCGCAGGAUUUCGGGAAGUUUACUAAAAAUGGUAAAUAUAGAUGGAAUGACAAGCCCUAGAAUUUAUAACAUUAUCAUUUAUGGCCUCAUCAAAGAAGCCUUUAAGAGUGAGGCGUGUAAGUUUCUAGAUGAAAUGCUAGACAAGGGAUGGGUGCCUGAUUCAAAGACACAUCUUGUGUUGGUUGCACCAUUGAUGGAGAAGAGGCUACAUGAGUUGACAAUGCCUUCCAAACAGCUGAUGCUGACACUGUGA